rnacentral:tRNA from 1 species
AAAAAAUUAGUUAAAUUUAAUAACAUUAAAAUGUCAUUUUAAAAUUAUUGUUAAAUCAGUAUUUUUUC